CGUCGAUGCCCUUCCUGGGCGUUUCCUCCCUGUAGACUUUAAGCCGCGCUCGUGUAGCGCGGCUUUUUUUUGCCUGAA
rnacentral:sRNA from 1 species